rnacentral:lncRNA from 10 species
AGGGGGAAGGGAGAGAGCGAGAGAAGGACACAGGGAAACUUACCGCAAAAUUUUCCCUGUUUAUAGCUUUCUUGGGGAAGAAAACACAUGAACAAAUCCUCGUGAUAGGAAUAUUUUAAGCAUAUAUCUUCAAUAUUACUCAUCCAGGACCGAAGUAAGUCCUGAUGCAGGAAAUGAGUGAGUUUCACAGCUUUCUGAGCCCCUACUCGACCCAGGAAGCCCAGCUGGCACCUCCUCUCAGUAUGCUAUUGAAAAGUGAAUUUGAAGUCAGAGACCCCAAAUGGAGAGACCGGCUGGAGCUGUGGCAGAAGAACAUAAAUUGUGAAGAUUUCACAUUAAUAUGGACAUUUAUCAGUUCCCAAAUAAUACUUUUAUAAUUUCUUAUGCCUGUCUUUACUUAAUCUCUUAAUCCUGUUAUCUUCAUAAGCAGAGGAUGUAUGUCACCUCAGGACCACUGUGAUAAUUGUGUUAACUGUACAAAUUGAUUGUAAAACGUGUGUUUGAACAAUAUUAAAUCAGUGCACCUUGGAAAAGAACAGAAUAACAGAAAUUUUUAUGGAAUAAGGGAAGACAACCAAAAGGUCUGACUGCCUGUGGGGUUGGGCAAUAAGAGCCAUAUUUUUCUUCUUGCAGAGAGCCUAUAAAUGGAUGUGCAAGUAGGAAAGAUAUUGCUAAAUUCUUUUCCUAGCAAGGAAUAUGAAUAUUAGUACCCUGGGAAAGGAAUGUGUUCCUUGGGGGAGGUCUAUAAAUGGCUGCUCUGGGAAUGGUUUGUCUUGUGCAGUUGAGAUAAGGACUGAGAUACGCCCUCGUCUCCUGCAGAACCCUCAGGCUUACUAGGGUUGGGAAACUCCACCCUGGUAAAUAUGUGGUCAGACCGGUUCCCUGCUCUCAAACCCUAUGUUCUGUUGUUUGAGAUGUUUAUCAAGACAAUACGUGCACCACUGAACAUGGACCCUUAUCAGUGGUUCUGCUUUUGCCCUUUGUCCUGUUCCCUCAGAAGCAUGUGAUCUUUGUUAGACCCUUAUUAGUAGUUCUGCUUUUUGCCCUUUGAAGCAUGUGAUCUUUGUACCUACUCCCUGUUCUUACACCCCCACCCCUUUUGAAACCCUUAAUAAAAACUUGCUGGUCUGAGACUCAGGCGGGCAUCACGGUCCUAUCGAUAUGUGAUAUCACCCCCGGCGGCCCAGCUGUAAAAUUCCUCUCUUUGUACUGUCUCUCUUUAUUUCUCAGCCAGCUGACACUUACGGAAAAUAGAAA